UCGCCUCUGACAGUUCCCUUUCUCCGCCCUCCUCUCUCCUCUCCUUAGCCGUGGUCUUCCCGGAGAUCGCAGGUCCAUCUCCUCCGUUUUCGGUCGCGAUUGGGCUCCUCCACUUCCCCGCUCUCACGUCUCCACCUACGCUCGCCGUACGCGCCACCACCUCCUCGAUAUCUUGAUAUCUAAACCUUCGGAGUUUCUUUGACCUUUGUGCCGUCACCGUCGAAAGUCCCCAGCCAAUGACGGGUUAGCCAUGAUCUUGGUUUUCUUCCUUGGAGGUUGGUUUGAGAUUUUGUUGUAUUGAAUUUGAUUUCUUCUUUUCAAUUGGAAUUGAUCUAUAGGUUCCUUACUAAUGCUGGAAUUGUGUGACUUGAUUGAUUUAUAUUAUUAGGGUAUUGGUCGGUUUUCUUUUCCUUUUUUUGUCUGCAUAGUUGUUCAGAGUGAAGCCACCAGUACUGACUGGAGCCAUCAGGAGGAGGAACCUUCGUCCUUAGAUUUACGUGGGCAAUCGAGAAUUUCUCCAGGUUGAACACCAAGAAACUCUACUCUGAUAUCUUUACAGUGGGUGGCUGCCAGUGCACAACCUACCUUAUGGGUGGAGUAGAUUUGGAUGGAUCGAUCUGGCUGCGAUCAAUCAAAUCCAAAGCAAGCAUUUGAUAUGAAAAGGUGAAGUGCACAAAGGCAGCUUCCAAGUGCUAAUCGAAGUCAGCUGUUGAUGCUCCACUCCGGUUCUAUCGGUUCUCGCCCCUCGUAAAUACUGAACCAAUCCCGUAGCUGCUUAGUGCUUACAGUCUCAUCCUUUACGUCUGAUCAGUGCGAUUGCACAAAUUACAUGGAUGCUCAGCCCUGCGGGCUUUGUUUCUGUGGCAGAGUAAGAUCUUCAGAAGAAACCAAGAGGAACGUUAUGUUCGAAGUGCAUGCAUAUGAGGGCCAGCUCUGACUUCCCCAUCCUGCAAUGGUUCAACUGGUGAAAGUCCGAGAGGCUUCUCCCACCUGCUGACAGAAGUUAUUCAGAAUCCAGGAAUGGUGUGAUAACUUAACAUGAUUGGUCCGAGGGGCUUCUUCCACUUACAUUGCAGGUAUCGUAGUCACAACUUCCCACAAUAUCCUCCGUCCACCAUUGCUAAGGUUGGUGCACAUUAUUCAUAACCUUUCACCUUAUUAGAGUCUUUUUGCAUAUCCACCCUUUGUAUUGCAUACCAUGUUAAAAUUUGAUUUUUAAUAUCUUUGAAUCAUCUAUGCAGGAAAGGACAAUAUAGUCCAGAUCUAGAAAGAAAUAUGAGUUGGUUUAUUAACUAAAUAUGUGUUCUACUAUUAGUUUAGGAUUAAACAUUUUGAACCAGUAAUUUUGGACCAUCAAGUUGAUGGAUUGGUUAUCUGAUCAAAUUGACCGUAUAGUUACUGGGCCAAUAAUCUAAUUGAGCCGGUUGGUCUCCUGAACACUGUUUAAGUCUAGCGACAAUUUGGCAAAUCAAGCCAAUGGUAAAAGAUAUUUGAUGAUUACUUGAUAUUUAUGAAGAUGCAUGCAAAGACAGAGAGAACAGUACCAACCUUUGAAAAUAUUAUGAUCCUCCACACAUACCACUUGUGUGAGCCUGGUUGGUGCAUUAAUGUUCUACGUGUACCUACUGACUUUUCUAUUAUCAUACAAAAUGGAGAUGUUAGGGUAAUUAAUGCUCUCCUGUAUUAGUGUUACGUAGUUGAUUAAACUCAUUAGGUACAUUUAAAUUAAGUGAGUAUAUGUUAUUUCAUGAUUUGUGAUUGUUGUGGUUUAUACACUGAAUUCAAGCAACACCAGAAUAUCACACCGAUAAUCUAGAAAGAACUAAACCAUGAAAAAAAAAGAUUGUCCUAGUACUGAUGGCCUUGAGCAGCCUUAGUUAGAAGUUGCACAAUCUCAAGUUAAUUUGGAUUUGACUUUUUCUAACUGCUCGAUUUGGCAUUCUUUAUAAUUUAGAUGUACUAGGGAUUUUGGAAUUAUGCUGCGGUAGCCAUCUUGUUCUCUAUAUUUUUCUAAUGUAGUGCCUUAUCUUCUAAUUGUAGGUUUACGAGUCAAAUCAUGAAAGUUUUCAUUAUUCUUUGAUUUCUUGAUUCUUAUGCAUGGUUGUUUUUGUUGUAUCAUUACAGAAUGUAUCUUUCAUCCCGAUGAAAUUUGUAGUUUUUUUUUUUUUUUGGAAAAUGAUGUGAAGGUUGUUAGGCUUUGAUAAUGGGUAGAGAAGAGAGAGAGAGAACAUAUAAGAGACACUAAACUAGUUGUUUAUCUCUUUUCUUCUUAUUUCAUGUAUCCAGACCCAAUUUUAAUAUGAUCCUAAAAAAUGUAGUAUAGUUUAACCUUCAACAGAUUUAUCUUCUCCCUCCUGAAUUGACUAAUUUCACUACAGCUGAAAUCAGCACUGAUGAAAGAAAGAAAGAAACACAUAAAAAGAAAAACUAUGGCAGACAUUGAAGCCCUCUUAGACCCUCCUGCUCUCCACAUGAAUUAUGGUUUUGAAACAGUGAACUCUUUGUAUAAAUUGCAGCAAUUAGAACGAGUGGAUCCGUGGGCCAUUGCAUUUACCUCAUUGUCAUACCAUAUCCAGCCAAAGAAUCUCUGGGAGGUCAGUCCUAUACAUGGACUUGCUGGUCAAUAAUCACAUAGCGUGUACAUCCAGGGUUGCUGUUCCCGAUAUAUAAUAUAUUGCCUGAGUUUGGACCUCAUGUGCCUACACUAUUUUAAGGAUUAAAAACUAAACCACCUGGAAUUACAAUUAAUGGAGACAUUAAAUCAGUGAAGGAGAUGUGUUUGUGUGCACGAGUGGAAAACCUAAACCCUGGAAAUCAGGCCUAGUGAACCAUUUUAGAAAGAGCGUCAACUGCUGCUUCUUCUUCUCAUCUAAUGUACUUUGUAGAGCUUUGUGUACUUGCAGGGCUUUAGGGUUUGUCAUGCAUAGAGGAAAAGAAUAGGAGCCAUGUGAUCCACACAUGGGAUGGGACAUUUUGGUCCUUAGGCUGCUGCAUUGCUUACCGUCUACUGCGGAGGAGAGGCUACACAGGAAGCCACCGUGAGAUGGUACACGAACAUCUGGGAGUUGAUGCUUGGUUGACGACUCCUCCUCUGUGCAUGGAAUGGGGCGCUUAUUGUCUCUCAAAACAUAUGGAGUUCAAAGUGAGAAAGCCGAGACCCUAUGUUUUGUUUACUCCCAGUCUGAGCCGUGCACAGGGACAGCAGCAGUCGCCAUGGCCGGUGGGAUUCGGCCGAUACCGUCGCGCUUUGUCCCAUUUGCUGGCCAUGACCAAUUCGUCCACGGUAGUGUGCAUCAUCCUAUAGCUUCUCGGCAUCUGCAGUCAUAUAUAAUUGUUUUGGGUGGCUCGAUCCGAGUUUUUGUCCUUGUGCUCGGAAGGUUUUCGUUGUUGGGUUUCUCGUGGGUUAUCACCGUACGCUUCCUCCUGCUACAUCCUUAUUUUUGCUCCUGCUGGGGCCUCUCUUUCUUGCUAUAUUUGCUGUUUAACAAUCACACGUUGAGGUGUCUAGUAAGAAUUCAAUUUUACUCACAGAUUAUUUUUAUA